UGUUCUGUGGCUUAGUUGGUUAAAGCGCCGGUCUAGCGAAUAACGGAGUCGUGGGUUCGAAUCCCACCAGAACGC
rnacentral:tRNA from 1 species